UGAAAAGAGAUAGAAGAUGCUAGCGAGGAGAGAGACAUACACAUUUGUAUUGGGGUAAGGAUUAGCAAUGGAAUAGUACGCGUUUACUACCGCGCCAUAUAUUUGGGUGACAAUGAGUCGAGCGUCCAGUUGUGAUUGCGCAGGCACUCGGGAAGUAGUGUUUCGUUUGAUCUACAUAUUUUUAAAAAGUGCUCGACAAUCGGUAGCUACCGAGAGACCCGUAUCAUUGGAGAUUUCGUGAAUUCCGUAACUCGGAGAUUUUUCCACAAUCACUGAUUCAUACUUGACAGACGUAGAAGAUGCUUAGUUCUUCACGAUACGGUUCAACUUUCAACUACUAUCCCUACGUUGUGCUGAAGAAUUUGUAUAAGGCGUUUAAUCAGUCAUCACGGUGCCUAGUUUAUCGCAGUACUUAUUCAACUUGCAACCACGAAGGG
rnacentral:misc_RNA from 1 species